CGGAGGGCGCCACGAAACAAGAGGCUUGGAGGCAAACAAGGAGAGAGAUGACAACCGCCCGCGCGCGCGCACGCCAGAAACGAGUUCCACCCAUAAAUAGAUACUCGUCUCCCUCCUCCGCCUGCGAUCCUCCUCCCUGCCCCAUUUCUCUCCUUCCUCCACCCACCCGGCUUUCGUUUCUUGGAAGCGAGAGGAGGGACGGGGAGGGAGAGGGGGCGGAGGGCGCCGGUGAGCUUUGCCAGGGAAGCUGCUUGCGUGGGGCUUUGCACGGCCGGGCCCCGCCCACGCUUCCCUCUUGCUCACUCACUCCCACCAACGCUCGCCUCUCACCUACUCUCUCUCUCUCUUAUCUCCUUCCAAGAUCCCUUUUUCCCUUUCGUCUUUGCUAGGACCAUUCUUUGAUCUUUCCUUGGCUCCAAAUACUCCCGUUCCAGCUGCGGAGAUCCCACCUCGGUUCCCUCCCGUCGGAGUAAUCUUAGCUCGAAUUUGACUUGUUUCUUGCUCUUCUUUUUUGUGGCUGCUCAGUUGGUGCGCGUCUCCGCUUCAAUCCGAGAACAACCCCCGCUCGGCAACAAGUGUCCCCCUUCUUCUCCGGGCUUCGAUUCGAUCGAAUCCCACCCAAUAUUUUUCUAACCCUUUCUGAAGUGGGUUCCAUCGCCUAGCUUUCUCCGAUCGGCCGGAGAAAGCAGCUGAGUUAGUGGUUGAUGCGGCUGUGGUCGUAGAGGCGGCAGCAUCUCAUCUCUCUUUCUUCCACUGGGUCUGGGUCUGGGUGGCUUGCGUUGUUUAUUUGCGAGGAGCACUGUGCAGUCGCAGUGCUCCACGGCUCGCUUCUUUGCCUCUCAUCAAUGCUUGCCCUGGUCGCCACCUUCGUCUUCUCCUGCCUCCUCUUCUUGUCCAAGCCAUGCGCCCGUGACAUGAGACUCUUCCUCGCUUCCAUCUCCCAACAACUCGCGCUCUCGCUGCUCGGAUUCUUGGCCGGCUACAGGCUGCUCGGCGGCGUCGCCUCCACGGCCGCGGACGCCAUGCCCCUCAUGCCUUCCUUCAAGAGGAAGCGCCCGGCCGCCAAGCUGGAGACUACGGAUACGACCGGCGAGCCGUCGGUGCUCGACCUCCCGGAGCUGGCCAUCGACUGCAUUCUCGCCAAGCUGCCGCCGGCGGAGCUGCGGAACAUGGCCGCCGUCAGCCGGUCCAUGCGGGAAAGGUGCAGGAGCGACCACCUCUGGGAGCGCCACAUGUCCGACAAGUGGGGUUCUGUCCUGGGUACCGCCGCGAGGGACGAGUGGAGGUCGUAUCUGUCCUCGUCGACCGCGGCCGGCGGCGGCGCGUCGGGGUGCGGGUCUGCUGGCAGCGGCAAGCACCGGAGGUGGCUUGCCGCGCUGUCCUGCGUCUGCCCGGUGGUGUCCUGGAUGCGGCCUAGGGCCGACGGCGGCGCCGGCACGUCCGCGGGCCCUGUGCUGGAUGAUUCCAUCAUGUCGUGGUAUCUCCACCUGGAGAGCGGCAAGUUCUGGUUCCCCGCACAGGUCUACAACCGAGAGCAUGGGCAUGUUGGGUUCAUGAUGUCAUGCUAUGAUGCAGAGCUCAGCUAUGAUUUCCGCACUGACACGUUCCACGCAAGGUAUCCACCACACGGGCGACGAACUGUAGUCUUGGAAGAUGGCGUGCAAUGGGACAGGAUCAGGGCACCUCGGGUCGAAACUCUUGCACAUGACCUGCAUGCCUCUGACUGCUUACAUGAACUACGGCCUGGCGAUAACAUUGAGAUUCAGUGGAGAAGGAACAAGGAGUUCCCAUAUGGCUGGUGGUAUGGAGUUGUUGGCCACUUGGAAUCAUGUGAUGGAAAUGAGCACUUUUGUCGGUGUCAUCUUAGUGGUGAGAAUAGCUUUAAUCUCUAGGAUUAAUUUAUUUGACUUGACUAAUAAUUGCAAAGUUAGUUGCAUAUACAUAGGCUUUUCAGAGUCAUGACCCCAUGAACAUUCCAGCAAAGUUCAAAGAACAUUAUAAUACAACAUCAUGGCCUCAAACUCAUUUUGGUUAUCCACUUAUUAAAUGGAAAGUGUUAGUCCGAAAAUGAUGACUUCCUCUUAUGUUUGACCUUAAUUUACUUUAAAAUGAGUUGUGUAUUAUGUUUAUUCCCAUUAACUAAACUGGUUCAUCGUCUCCCCACUAAUACAUUAUGCUGGGAUACUGAUAACCUAGUUAACAUAUUUUGAACAUAGCUGACAUUAACAUUUCUGUGAGUGCUUGUUCCAUAAGAAUCCAUCCUUUUAGGUUAUGCUUGCUUUAUUACCUAUAUUGAAGAUGGUUUUAUUAUACACGAUGUGCACUUAUUCUUUAAACUUGCCACUCGGUUUAAGAUUCAACCCCAAACUUCGAAACCAGUCGAACCACACCCCAAAUAACCCCAAACUUGCCACUCAGCAGGUACAAGGAAUGCCAAAUCUGAAAUUUUCACAGAUCAUCGAGCAUACCAUGUGGACUAAUAUGACCAUAUUUGGUUGAAUAGAUUGAGAGAUUCAUCAAAAUUUCAAUUUCUGCAAUUUUGGUCAAUAAUUUGAGCGAUUUUUUCCAGAAAAUUGAGAAAAAUUUACACAACAUUAAGCAUAGCAUGUAUACUAAUCUGGGAAAUUUUCAAUAAAUUUUGCUAAACAGAUUGAGAUUCAUCAAAAAUUCAAUUCCUGCAAUUUUUUGUCACAAUUUUGACCCAGUUUUUAUCCCCCCACACACAAACCCCAAAAAAACUGAAAAUCAAACAUAGCAUCUGGACUAAUCUGAGAAAAUUUCAACAUAUUUGUCGAACAGAUUGGUAGAUUCAUCAAAUUUUGAAUUCUGCAAUUUUUGGCCAAAAUUUUGACCGAGAAAAAAGUUUUCAGAAAAUUUCACACAGCAUCAAGCAUAGCAUGUGGACUAAUCUGGGACAGUUUUCACUAUAUUUGGCUGAACAGAUUGAGCGAUUCAUCAAAAUUUUAAUCUCUGCAAUUUUUUACCAAAAAAGGUUCUCGUUUGACCUAGUGGCUUAGUUGGCAUACCCUGCUGACAUGGCACUGCUCAGUCAGCACUCAACGUGGUCAAAACCACUUCAGUGAGUCAAAACCGGGAGGGGGUUGAUUCCUGAACCGGGGGGGUUAAUUCAUGUGGAAUGUUGAGGUCAAGUAUCUUAGUUGUUAGCAGUCACUCUGCGAUGGCUAGCAUAAACACGAAAAUUGGUACUGUUAAACGGAAUGGAAGUGGAUCUCUGAACAUACAAACUCUUGUGACGAUAUAUUAUUGCAGACACCGUGGUGCUGGAGUUCAAUCAAUACACGCCUGGCUCAAGAUGGAGGCAGUCCCUGGUGAAUCGGAAGGACCACAGGGAAGAAGGCAACGAGAGUGACGGAUUCUACGGUGGAAUAAGGAAGCUCCAAGACAAGGAUGAAAUCUCAAAGUGGAAGCAGCUAUGGCCAACGGAUAUCCUGGAAUAACGUGAACUAUUUCGCUUUCGCCCUUGUGACUCCUCCCCUCAGUCAAGUUGGCUAAUUGAUAUGCCUCCCACGAUCAGCCACCCCCUCCGUUCAAGUUGUACACACGGAUAGAACACGGGGUGGCAAAUUCUGGUGGCUGGACACGGUUGUAAACUUACUGUCGGGCAAAUAAACGCAGACUGCUGCUGAUCUACGUGCAGUGUAUGUAACACCGCAGUCUGCGCCUUUUUGCCUGCUGUUGUAGUCCUAGAGCAGAAAGAUCAAAUGUAAAUUAAAAUUUAGUUCAGAUUUACGGACAGGUUUGUCGCACUUCUCUCCCUCCAUUGCUGCUUUCCCCCAUCAGGUAGCAAGUAAAACACACAGAGCAAGGAAGUAGCAGAGUUUCACUGUUGCCAACGCCUGAAC
rnacentral:rRNA from 1 species